GCUCGCUACGAUCAUUUACCACUUGCUCCGUCUCUCAUCCAAAGAAUAAAACAAUAAUGAUGAAAUAAUACCGCUUCGUGCAAUACGUGUGUGUCUGUGUGUGUGUCUAUAUAUAUAUGUAGUUAUAAUGCCGUAACAAUUUCGAAACGCGUCCAUCGUCGUGCAUAACAAUGAUACACGCGUCGUCGUCGAGCGAAGAUCGCGGUGCGCUGCUGCUGCUACCACUCACAGUUGUCGUCGUUGUUGCUUUGUUUCACUUUGGAAACCAAACAACGAAUAAACAAAACACCAUCAAAUAAGGGUGCCGAGGAUGAUGCUGUGACCGGAUGGCGUCGUCGUCACAGUUCUUCGUCGGAGGCGCUGGAAAUCCGAUGGACCCGGAGGACCUCUCCGACGUCGGCGUCGCGAUCGAAGAGGGCGCAAGCGUCGAUUCGCCGCUCAUCCUGCAACCGUCGAUCUCGCUUCCCGCGAUCGUCGCCUCGACGCCGAAUCUGAACCGCGUCGCGACGGCCACCAGCUCGCUCACCCACUUCAAAGAUUCCAGGAAUCGGUUCAGACCUGGUGCUGCUCGCAAAAUCCGAAGACGCGCCAUCCUCAAGAACGGCGACUGCAACAUCCUGCAGUCGCGCAUCUCGAAGCAUCGCCUGAGAUUCCUCCAAGACAUCUUCACGACUCUCGUGGAUACGCAAUGGCGUUGGACGUUGAUCGCGUUCGCCCUGAGUUUCCUACUCUCGUGGUUGGGUUUCGCGGUCAUCUGGUGGCUGAUAAUGUUCACGCACGGCGAUCUGGAGGCUGACCAUCUGCCCGACGAGCAGGAGAAGUCCGGUUGGGAACCGUGCGUCUCGGCCAUCCACGAUUUCACCUCGUGCUUCCUCUUCAGCAUAGAAACGCAGCACACGAUCGGUUACGGUGUUCGCACCACUUCUGAGGAAUGCCCGGAGGCCAUCUUCGUCAUGUGCAUGCAGAGUAUCGUAGGUGUGAUGAUACAGGCUUUCAUGGUGGGCAUCGUCUUCGCGAAGAUGACGAGACCGAAGCACCGCACGCAGACGUUGCUGUUCUCGAGGAACGCGGUCAUCUGCCAAAGAGAUGGUUUCCUCAGCCUGAUGUUCAGGGUCGGCGACAUGAGGAAGUCGCACAUCAUCGGAGCGAGUAUAAGGGCUCAGCUGAUAAGGGCGCGCACCACUAAAGAGGGCGAAGUCAUGGGUCAAUAUCAGACGGAGUUGGCGGUGAGCGCGGACGGAUGCGACGGUGAUCUGUUCUUCAUCUGGCCGAUGACCAUCGUCCAUAAGAUCGACGAGGAAUCACCGCUGUACACGCUCUCCGCUUCAGACAUGCUGAUGGACAGAUUCGAAAUCGUCGUCAUCUUGGAGGGGACGAUCGAAAGCACCGGACAGACGACUCAGGCGAGAUCGAGUUACGUCGCUGCAGAAGUCCUUUGGGGUCACCGCUUCGAACCGGUCGUCAGCUACAACAAGGAGAGGCAAGGGUACGAAGUGAAAUAUUCGAAAUUCGAUAACACCAUUCAGGUGGAUACACCUCUCUGCUCCGGCUCAGAACUCGCCGAAUUCUACCGCCUCCAAGAUCCGAUCGAUCAAGCAGAGCGCAUUUCCUACCACCGUAUGAACAGCAACAUGCCGACCAACGAUUCCGCUUGAUACCCACGCACGCAACCAAACAUACAAUUAAUUACAUUUGAACCAAUCAUCGUGAGAAUCUCAGCGAACAAACUUCAUAUAUUAUUUAUAGCUUAUGCAUGGUCUACCUUUACUCCAACGAGAUGACCAUGCUAUUAAACGGUAUGACGACAUCACCGACAAAUUCAUUUGGUCCAAGGAAACCCAGCUCCGUUCAAAUAGACGAAUUAGAUGACACCAACAGUUAACACUUCACCCACAUCCUUGAUGCAUCUCCAGUUGCAUAACAACAACAAAUUGAAUUAAAUUAAUAAACUACACGUUUACUUAUUUCACCAUACCUUUAAUCAUUAAAAUCAGUUUCAUCCUUCUAAAACAAUCUAGAAGUUUUAUAUUUGAAAAUCACAUUCCUAAUUUGUUGUGACGAUUACUUGCAGAAUUUGCGAUUCGCGUGCAACGUGUUGCAUAAUUGGGAAUUAGAAAUGGGGGGAAGACAAAGAGGUCGUGGAUAUAAUAUAUUUAUAUUUUAAAUAGAUUUUUUUUGUUGUUGUUUUUCUUUAAAUAUUAGUUUAUAGACUUGGAUCAAAUAGUUUCCGUCUGUCGUCAUCAUCAUCACUGGAUAACAAAGA